CGGGAGAUGGCUGAGUGGUCGAAAGCGGCGGUCUUGAAAACCGUUGAGGGUCACACCUCCGGGGGUUCGAAUCCCUCUCUCCCGGCCA
rnacentral:tRNA from 16 species